rnacentral:tRNA from 1 species
GGGGGUGUGGUGAAACGAGAAUCAUGCCGGCCUUCCAAGCCGGAGGUGCCGGGGCAGUUCCGGUCAUCCCCU